rnacentral:sRNA from 1 species
GCAGAGGCGGAGGUUGCUCCUGUACGCGUCCGGGCCGCUCAGCCGGAGCCGCAGCCCGGAGGUGCCGGGCGGUGCGCUGGGUGCUGCUGCUGCUGCUGCCCGCCCUCCGCCGCCCGGGCCCCCGCUGCCGCCCGGGCCCCGGCUGCCGUCUGCGCCCCCGUCGACCCCGCCCGCGAGUGCGCCCCAGCCGGGACGCCGCCCCCGGCCGGGUCUCCACUUCUUGGCCGCACCUUCCAUGACAGCGCCCGCGAGAAGAUGGCUGCGAAGGGCGCGCACGGCUCCCACCUGAAGGUGGAGAGCGAGCUAGAGCGCUGCCGCGCCGAGGGUCACUGGGACCGCAUGCCGGAGCUGGUCCGGCAGCUGCAGACGCUGAGCAUGCCCGGCGGCGGAGGUAGCAGGCGAGGCACCCCGAGCGCAGCGUUCACCUUUCCGGACACCGAUGACUUUGGGAAAUUGCUGCUGGCUGAGGCCCUCCUGGAGCAGUGUUUGAAGGAGAACCACACCAAAAUAAAAGACUCCAUCCCUUUGCUGGAGAAGAAUGAGCCGAAGAUGAGCGAAGCCAAAAAUUAUCUGAGCAGUAUCCUUAACCAUGGGAGGCUCUCGCCACAGUACAUGUGUGAGGCCAUGCUGAUCCUGGGCAAACUGCAUUACGUGGAGGGCUCAUACCGAGAUGCCAUCAGCAUGUACGCGCGGGCCGGGAUUGAUGACAUGUCCAUGGAGAACAAGCCCCUGUAUCAGAUGCGGCUGCUGUCGGAGGCUUUUGUCAUCAAAGCAUGCCUCCAGCUUCUUGGGGGAACACAGUCCCGGUGGUCAGAGGUCCUGCAGGGGAGGCCUCUCUCUGGAACGCCUACCCAACUCCAUCGCCUCCCGCUUCCGCCUGACGGAGAGGGAGGAGGAAGUGAUCACCUGUUUUGAGAGGGCCUCCUGGAUCGCUCAGGUGUUCCUGCAGGAAUUGGAGAAGACCACAAAUAACAGCACAUCAAGGCAUCUGAAAGGCUGUCACCCGGUUGACUAUGAGCUCACCUACUUCCUGGAAGCCGCCCUCCAGAGCGCCUAUGUGAAAAACCUGAAGAAGGGGAACAUCGUGAAGGGCAUGAGAGAGCUCCGGGAGGUGCUGCGGACUGUGGAGACCAAAGCAACUCAGAACUUUAAAGUGAUGGCGGCCAAGCACCUGGCGGGGGUCUUGCUGCACUCCCUGAGUGAGGAGUGCUACUGGAGCCCCCUGUCCCACCCUCUGCCUGAGUUCAUGGGCAAGGAGGAGAGUUCUUUCGCCACGCAGGCCCUGCGGAAACCUCACCUCUAUGAAGGAGACAACCUCUACUGCCCCAAGGACAACAUCGAGGAAGCCCUCCUGCUCCUCCUCAUCAGCGAAUCCAUGGCAACUCGAGAUGUGGUGCUGAGCCGGGUGCCGGAGCAGGAGGAGGACCGGACAGUGAGCUUGCAGAAUGCCGCAGCCAUCUAUGACCUCCUGAGCAUCACGUUGGGCAGAAGGGGACAGUACGUCAUGCUCUCGGAGUGCCUGGAGCGAGCCAUGAAGUUUGCAUUUGGAGAAUUUCACCUUUGGUACCAGGUGGCCCUCUCCAUGGUGGCUUGUGGGAAGUCAGCCUACGGUGUGUCCCUGCUGCGGGAGUGUGUGAAGUUGCGGCCCUCGGACCCCACCGUGCCCCUGAUGGCCGCAAAGGUCUGCAUCGGGUCCCUUCACUGGCUAGAGGAAGCAGAGCGCUUUGCCAUGAUGGUGAUCAGCCUUGGAGAGGAAGCCGGGGAGUUCCUCCCCAAGGGCUACCUGGCUCUGGGUCUCACCUAUAGCCUGCAGGCCACCGACGCCACCCUGAAGUCCAAGCAAGAUGAAUUGCACCGGAAGGCACUGCAGACGCUGGAGAGGGCUCAGCAGCUGGCGCCCAGUGACCCCCAGGUCAUCCUCUAUGUCUCGCUGCAGCUGGCCCUCGUCCGACAGAUCUCCAGUGCCAUGGAGCAGCUGCAGGAGGCCCUGAAGGUAUGCAAGGAUGAUGCCCACGCCCUCCACCUGCUGGCACUGCUCUUCUCUGCCCAGAAGCACCACCAGCAUGCCCUGGAUGUUGUCAACAUGGCCAUCACCGAGCACCCUGAGAACUUCAAAGGCCUGGAAAAGGAUGGCAGCUUCGGUGAGGGCCUCACCGUGAAGAAGCAGAGUGGCAUGCACCUGACUUUGCCUG